GGAGAGGUGUCCGAGCGGUUUAAGGAGGUUGUAGGUCUUGAAAACCAGUGACUUCAGAGAACUUCGGCCUUCCAAGGCCGACCGCGGGUUCGAAUCCCUUCACCCUCUCCGCCA
rnacentral:tRNA from 1 species